GGGAAACCGGAGCUAAUACCGGAUAAUAUAUUGAACCGCAUGGUUCAAUAGUGAAAAACGGUUUUGCUGUCACUUAUAGAUGGAUCCGCGCCGCAUUAGCUAGUUGGUAAGGUAACGGCUUACCAAGGCAACGAUGCGUAGCCGACCUGAGAGGGUGAUCGGCCACACUGGAACUGAGACACGGUCCAG
rnacentral:rRNA from 1 species